rnacentral:tRNA from 1 species
GGCUUCGUAGCUCAGCUGAACAGAGCAACGCACUUCUAAUGCGUAGGUCGAUGGUUUGAAUCCAUCCGAAGUCACAA